AUAACUACGGGAAACUGUAGCUAAUACCGCGUAGUAUCGAGAGAUGAAAGUGUGGGACCUUCGGGCCACAUGCCAUAGGAUGAGCCCAAGUGGGAUUAGGUAGUUGGUGAGGUAAAGGCUCACCAAGCCGACGAUCUCUAGCUGGUCUGAGAGGAUGACCAGCCACACUGGGACUGAGACACGGCCCAG
rnacentral:rRNA from 1 species